UCUCGGUAAAAUAAACUAGUAAGCGGUAUUGUUGUGUUAGUGGAGCGGUCUGUGAUGGAUGCACGUGCCGCAUGUGUUCUCGUUGUGCUGUUUCUGUCCUUAGGAAAUCCAACUUUAGCUGAUCAUUGCACCAUAGAAGAUCUGGGCGCACUCUUUUGCAUCAAACCGCUUUGCGCGCUGGCUUGUGCUGACUCAGCGAAACAAAACCGUGGCUCUUACCAUGCCGCUCGGUGCGGUGGCAGCCAAUGCAAAUGCAAGAUUUGCUACACUGGGUGAAAUUAUAUAUAAUAACUGAAUAAAGGAUGUUUUACUAUGUAUUCCGAAAUCAUAUAUGGAGAUCCUAAGGAGGAAAUAAAUAAUUCAUUAUAUCGUGUUA